rnacentral:lncRNA from 1 species
AUGAUGAAAAUUGUUGUUAUGUGGAUUGGACCACUUUUACUUGCUACUUUAUUAACUACCUCUCUAUCAAAGUGGGAUCCACAUAGGCGGAAACCUACUUAUGCACAUAGUAUUAUUCCAGGUGCUGGUGCUAUGACCUUAAAGGCAGAAGAUCCUCCCCUGGUUCUAACCACCCUGAAUGAAAGAGUGGGCGAGGUUCGAAAUGGUGAAUUGGGGUAG